GAAAAGGGAAAAGGGAAAAGGGAAAAGGGAAAAGGGAAAAGGGAAAAGGGAAGAGGGAAAAGGGAAGAGGGAAAAGGGAAAAGGGAAAAGGGAAGGAAGCUCCCCCUGCCCCCGGGGCUCUGGGAGAAACUCCCACCCGCACCCCCGGCCCCAGGCAGGAGCCGGACCCGCUCCCGGGCAUCUUCCCCCGGCCCCGCAGCGCUGCGGCCCCCGGCCCAUGAUAAAGACGCUUUGAGAGUCCUCUCCCCCCUCCACCCCCGUCCCACCCCCUCAUUUUUUUUUUUUUUUUUUUUUAUUAUGGUUUUCUCACCGAGUCCAAUAAAUCGCGCGGCUCGUCUGGCCUCAGACGUGUUCAGCAACCCAAGCCCCGCCGCUUUUGUUCCGCCAAGUCUCACAUUGUUUGUCCGGCUGCGCGGGGCGCGGGAGCUGCGGGGGCUCCGCGGGGCGGGGGUGGGUGGGCGAUGCUCGGCACCCCGGGGCUCGCUUCUUUCUCCGGGCUUACCCCGACUUCUUCACCCACCUGGGGGCGGCCGGGGAUGCGCCCGGUGGGUCCUGCCUGCGCUGGCCUCCCUUCGCUGCCCUGCGUGCCAACCUGGCACGGCUCUGUGCCCUCUGUGCCCUGCCCUGCCCUGCCCGGCUCGCCGCGGCUCUCGGCGGUGUCCCCGAGCCCGGAGCCGCCGCCGGAGGAGCGGGGGCCGUGCCCGGCGUAAGGAUAUAUAGGAGCGGCCGCGGAGCCUCCACGUAGCCCAUACGUAAAGUCCGACGUUCCUGCAAACCUCCCUUGAGUCUGGAAACGCGGACAACGCUGUGUGGAAAGGAAAUUGAAAAAUUUGAAAUUCCCUUUCUGUUCCCACUCUCUUGGCAAAUUCGCAGCCACCGACGCCCAGCGAGAGGAACCGUUUUCCUGCAGAAAUCCUCACUACAGACCCGAGACCCUCUGGCAUCUCUUCCCCAUCCUCCAGCGAGGACGGCGGCUUCGCCCACCAGAUUAAAAAAAAAAAAAAUAAAAUAAAAGUAAAAGUG